UUCCUGGGGGAAGAGCCCAGGGUGGGGAAUAAGGCAGAAAAGAGAUGUAAAGGAGAGCGAGCUGGCUCCUGUGAUGUGGUCCUGUCGCGGGCAAGGCUCCGGGAGUGAGUGAGCCUGCAGGACGCCGCUUCAGAAUUGAUACGAAGUUGCUGUUUACUAACUCGGCUCUGCCCAGACCUUUUGGGAGAAAUGGCAGUUUUCACUGCAAAGCGUUCUCACAGCUAAAGUCCUGAGGGGUGUGCGGUGCGGGGCCCGUGCGGGCAGUGGCUGAGCACAGAAGGCGUCCACACCCUCCCACGGCUGGGGUCCCCACCUCCAGCGGGUGGGGAGGUCGGGGGCUCGCGAGUGGUCACAUCACGUCUGCACCAAGGUCGCAUCACCGAGACUGUGCACGGGGACCUGGACCCACCCACGCACAUGCUCCUCCAUGGAUUGAAGAGGGAAGGUUCCCGGGAACAGGCCUCCACCUGCUUUCCAAACACAUCUGUGGAGGGGAUGCUGGCUCCUGCCUUGUGAAGCUCAAGCUGGAGGACAAGAAACCCCUCCUCCUUCCCCUGUAUCCCCAGGCCUGACCUCAGAUGGAAUUGGUGACCAUGACCGUGCAUGGUGCUUGCAGCUAAAAUGUCACCUCAAGGGCACAGGAACCAAAGUCACUUCUGGGGCCUCCCUCCAGUUCCUGCCAUGAUGCCGAUCACAGCGGCCUGGGUGUCUUCCCCACCUGGCACGUCUAAUCCCCUGAUCUGAACACCCGGCUCUCUUGUGACCCAGCACAGACUCUCCAGGAGAUUUCAAAGCUUCCAUCCCAGCCGGGUGGACCAGAAUCUUCCAUCCUGGUUAUCCGCCAUCCUGCCCAUUGAGGUGGCUGUCACCCUGUGAGGACCAUGAGACGCCUUCAGGAGGGAACAGCGAAGUGACCUAAAUCUCUGGCUGGAGGAGGCGCAUCCUAUGCUCGCUCUCCCGUAGCUGGUGCUGCAGAUGAGCCAGGGCGCCCUGUGUGUCCUGGUUUACAGAGCGGAAGGUACGGUCACCCACGAAACCGUCAGGGACCUCUCUGCACCCAGGGCAGGUUCUAAGGCAUGAAAGAUCAAUUCUGUGGAGACUCCUUGGCCCCAGAGCUGCUGGGGAAUCUGCCAGAGAGCCCAUGGUUUCCAUAGAAACUACGGAUGAGUUUAGCAUGAGUCCCCGUCCUGCCACUCAAGUCCGAGAAGAAAGAUCAGUAGCAUGGGGGCAAUCGCUGGGCUAGGGCUCCCUGCCCCGGCUGUGAGCGGACCAAGCCCGUCAGGAUGAGGCCCACGGGGAGGAGACGGGCCCUUCUCCACGCCGAGAUGAGGCCCAAGUCUUGGAUCCGUUUGGAAGACCCAACGCUUGCAUCUUUCGCUCCAGUAUGAUCUCCCAGUAGGAAACUUCCCAAACUAUCUCAGUGAUCUUCUCUAGGGCCUCACUCUGCUCUUAUAGAAGGUGAUUUUUGUUAUCUCUUUAACCUAUAUUUUUGUUGUGGCAAUUUAAACUUUUCUCUACUUAUAUACCAGGUGAAAUUUUAAAAAAUAAACAAACACGCACAACCAUAAGACUUGAAGAUGCUGUCUCCUGCGGGGCACUUGGAUCAUCUCCCAUGCACUGAAACCUCACCAUUAUGUUCUCAAUCUC